UGGGGAAUCUUGGGCAAUGGGCGAAAGCCUGACCCAGCGACGCCGCGUUGGGGAUGAAGCCCUUCGGGGUGUAAACCCAUGUUGUAGGGGACGAAGAAAGUGACGGUACCCUACGAGGAAGCCCCGGCUAACUACGUGCCAGCAGCCGCGGUAAGACGUAGGGGGCGAGCGUUGUCCGGAAUUACUGGGCGUAAAGGGCACGCAGGCGGUGCGCCAAGUCGAGGGUGUAAAGUUACGGCUCAACCGUGACAUUGCAAUCGAUACUGGCGCGCUGGAGUGCGGGAGAGGGAAGUGGAAUUCCCGGUGUAGCGGUGAAAUGCGUAGAUAUCGGGAGGAACGCCAGUGGCGAAGGCGGCUUCCUGGCCCGCGACUGACGCUCAUGUGCGAAAGCCAGGGGAGCGAACCGGAUUAGAUACCCGGGUAGUCCUGGCCGUAAACGAUGGGUGCUAGGUGUAGGCGCGUCAAGCGUCUGUGCCGAAGUUAACGCGAUAAGCACCUCGC
rnacentral:rRNA from 1 species